CCCGAGUGGGUGUGAUCUCAGAGCCGGGAUGCGCUCUCGCGCCCGGAGUUCACACUGGGCCUCGACCAAAACCUCCAGAGCAGGCAAGCUGCCCUUUGGGCUACGCUAUUUAGGCAUGACUAAGAGAUAUUGUGAAAUUACAACCCAACAAUGCUUUGUGGGACAGGCGUUCCCACACCUAAGAAAUUGUCCAGCGUUGAACCAGCAUGUCUCAAAAUGGCAUCUGCGGAUGAACUGCAGGCGGCUGGAGACAGAUUUGCUGACCUCUAAUUGUCGAGGAUCUUCAUCUUUGGAAAUACCAAUCAUCUUUCUCAUGGAUGGAACCCUAACACGAAAAACCUGA
rnacentral:lncRNA from 1 species